CCUACGGGGGGCAGCAGUGGGGAAUAUUGGACAAUGGGGGGAACCCUGAUCCAGCCAUGCCGCGUGUGUGAAGAAGGCCCUCGGGUUGUAAAGCACUUUCAGUGAGGAAGAACGCCUGGUGGUUAAUACCCAUCAGGAAAGACAUCACUCACAGAAGAAGCACCGGCUAACUCCGUGCCAGCAGCCGCGGUAAUACGGAGGGUGCGAGCGUUAAUCGGAAUUACUGGGCGUAAAGCGCGCGUAGGUGGCUUGAUAAGCCGGUUGUGAAAGCCCCGGGCUCAACCUGGGAACGGCAUCCGGGACUGUCAGGCUAGAGGGCAGGAGAGGAAGGUGGCAUCCCCGGCGUAGCGGUGAAAUGGGUCGAGAUACGGAGGAGUAGCAGUGGGGAAGGCGGCCUUGUGGACUGACACUGACACUGCGGUUCGAAAGCGUGGGUAGCAACCCGGAUCAGAUACCCCUGGAGUC
rnacentral:rRNA from 1 species